AGCAGUAGCCGCGGUAAUACGAAGGGGGCUAGCGUUGUUCGGAAUUACUGGGCGUAAAGCGCACGUAGGCGGAUAUUUAAGUCAGGGGUGAAAUCCCGCAGCUCAACUGCGGAACUGCCUUUGAUACUGGGUAUCUUGAGUAUGGAAGAGGUUAGUGGAAUUGCGAGUGUAGAGGUGAAAUUCGUAGAUAUUCACAGGAACACCAGUGGCGAAGGCGGCUAACUGGUCCAUAACUGACGCUGAGGUGCGAAAGCGUGGGGAGCAAACAGGAUUAGAUACCCCCGUAGUCCCUGUCUCUUAUAC
rnacentral:rRNA from 1 species